rnacentral:rRNA from 1 species
UACAGUGGCGUACGGGUGAGUAACACGUGGGUGAUCUACCUUUUAGUGGGGGAUAUCUCUGGGAAACCGGAGUUAAUACCGCAUAAGCUCGGAAGAGGAAAGCCGAAAGGCGCUGAGAGAGGAGCCCGCGGCCGAUUAGCUAGUUGGUGGGGUAACGGCUCACCAAGGCUGAGAUCGGUAGCCGGCCUGAGAGGGCACACGGCCACACUGGCACUGAAACACGGGCCAG